rnacentral:rRNA from 1 species
GUGGGGAAUUUUGGACAAUGGGCGAAAGCCUGAUCCAGCCAUGCCGCGUGCAGGAUGAAGGCCUUCGGGUUGUAAACUGCUUUUGUACGGAACGAAACGGUCCUGGUUAAUACCCGGGGCUAAUGACGGUACCGUAAGAAUAAGCACCGGCUAACUACGUGCCAGCAGCCGCGGUAAUACGUAGGGUGCAAGCGUUAAUCGGAAUUACUGGGCGUAAAGCGCGCGUAGGUGGUUUUGUAAGUUGGAGGUGAAAUCCCCGGGCUCAAACUGGGAACUGCCUCCAAAACUGCAUGACUAGAGUACGGUAGAGGGUAGUGGAAUUUCCUGUGUAGCGGUGAAAUGCGUAGAUAUAGGAAGGAACACCAGUGGCGAAGGCGACUACCUGGACUGAUACUGACACUGAGGUGCGAAAGCGUGGGGAGCAAACAGGAUUAGAUACCCCAGUAGUCC